rnacentral:rRNA from 1 species
UAGUUCAAGCGGUAGGAGAGCGUCGUAACCGGGCUGAAGUCGUACCGUAAGGAGCGGUGGACUGGUUACGAGUGAGAAUGUUGGCAUCAGUAGCGAGAUGUGGGUGAGAAUCCCACAGGCCGAAAACCUAAGGUUUCCUCAGGAAGGUUCGUCCGCUGAGGGUUAGUCGGGACCUAAGCCGAGGCCGAAAGGCGUAGGUGAUGGACAACUGGUUGAUAUUCCAGUACCACUACCAUCGUUAUUAUCGAUGGCGUGACGCAGGAGGAUAGUGUGUGCUAGCUAUUGGAUGCUAGUCUAAGCGUUUAGGCAGUGAGAGUAGGCAAAUCCGCUCUCAUAAUGCUGAGGCGUGAUGGGGAAGGUUCUACGGAACCGAAGUACAUGAUUCCACGCUGCCAAGAAAAGCGUCUAGAGAGAGAAGUAGUGCCCGUACCGCAAACCGACACAGGUAGGUGAGGAGAGAAUCCUAAGGCCGGCGGAAGAAUUACAGUUAAGGAACUCGGCAAAUUGACCCCGUAAGUUCGCGAGAAGGGGUGCCUACGAGAGUAGGCCGCAGAGAAUAGGCCCAAGCAACUGUUUAGCAAAAACACAGGUCUCUGCUAAAGCGUAAGCUGAUGUAUAGGGGCUGACGCCUGCCCGGUGCUGGAAGGUUAAGGGGAACACUUAGCGCAAGCGAAGGUGUGAACUUAAGCCCCAGUAAACGGCGGCCGUAACUAUAACGGUCCUAAGGUAGCGAAAUUCCUUGUCAGGUAAGUUCUGACCCGCACGAAUGGCGUAAUGACUUGGGCACUGUCUCAACUGUAAAUCCGGCGAAGUUGUAGUGCGAGUGAAGAUGCUCGCUACCCGCGAUUGGACGGAAAGACCCCGUAGAGCUUUACUGUAGCUUAGCAUUGAGUUUUGGUAUUGUCUGUACAGGAUAGGUGGGAGACUAGGAAACCAGGGCGUCAGCCUUGGUGGAGUCAACCUUGGGAUACCACCCUGACAGUACUGAAAUUCUAACUGGCGGCCAUGAAUCUGGUCACAGGACAUUGUUAGGUGGGCAGUUUGACUGGGGCGGUCGCCUCCUAAAAAGUAACGGAGGCGCCCAAAGGUUCCCUCAGAACGGUCGGAAA